AUGGACAGGAUAUUGGUGAGUGCUUCCACAGGCGCGAUGAACUCCGUCUUGGGUAAGCUGGCCAAUCUCAUGGGGGAGGAGUUCGCCAAGCUCAAAAACCUCCGGAAAGAGGUCAAGUUCGUCAGCGAUGAACUUGCCGGCAUGAAGGAUGCACUUGAGGGGCUUUCUUAUCUGGAUGAGCUAGAUCCACAAACCAAGAGAUGGAGAGACAUCGUCAGGGAGAUGUCGUACGACAUCGAGGAAAUCAUUGAUGACUUUAUGCAAAACAUUGGAGGCACCGACAAAAGUGAUGGGUUCGUCAGCAGCACGAUUCGACGCCUCAAAACUUUGACGGCUCGACAUCGAAUUGCUCGACAAAUCGAGGACGUAAAGAAACUUGUUCUCGAGACAAGUGCACGGCGUCACAGGUAUAAGAUUGAUACCUCCUCAUCAAGCAAUGUGGCCAUUGACCCACGUGUUGCCACGCUCUAUGAAAACGCAGCUAACCUUGUUGGUGUUGAAGAGCCAACGAAUGAGCUUAUUAACUUGCUAAGUGAAGGGGAGAAGAAGUUGAAAGUGGUAUCUAUUGUGGGAUUCGGAGGUCUAGGCAAAACAACACUUGCCAAUGUGGUAUAUGGUAAGCUCAAGGGUGAAUUUAGCAGCUGUACUGCUUUUGUGCUAGUGUCUCAAAAGCCAGACAUCCCAAAACUUCUUCGUGGUUUACUAUCACAACUUGGGGUAGAACCAUCUAUUCACGCAUGCGAGUCACAUCUUAUCGACAUGCUCAGGGAACAUCUAAAAGAUGAGAGGUACUUGAUUGUAAUUGAUGAUAUAUGGGAUGUAUCAGCCUGGGAUAUUAUCAAAUGUGCUUUUCCAGAAAAUAAUCUUGGGAGCAGAGUAAUAACUACUACUAGAAUUCAGGUGGUGGCUAAGGCAUGUUGUUUCCAUGGACAUGAUCACAUUUUAGAAAUGAAGCCCCUCAACGACAAAGACUCGAUAAGACUAUUUUUUGGCAGGAUAUUUGGUUCUGAGGAAGCUUGCCCUCGCCAUCUUAGAGAUGUUUCGGUUGAAAUUCUUAAAAAAUGUGGUGGUUUGCCUCUUGCAAUUGUUACUAUAUCCAGCAUGCUAGCCAGCAAAGAUUCCAUCCAAAAGGAAAGGUGGGAACAUGUAAGGAGUUGUUUAGGCUCAUUAACAAAUCUCACGUUGGAAGGAGUUAGGCAAAUCUUAAACCUUAGCUACAGAGAUCUUCCACUUCAUCUACAACAAUUGAUCCCUUGA
rnacentral:rRNA from 1 species